AAGAGCAGGGAGGAAAUUUACUUGAGACAUUUAAAGCUAAUCAAGCUCGGCUAAGAGAAGAAGAGGAAAAGAGAAUGUCCACUUAUUCUUCAAAGGGCAAAAGAUUUGGAUCAACUUUCAACGUCUUCUCUUUUAAGAAGUCUUCCUCAUCUUCCCCUGCACCUCUUGAAGUAGCCAUACCUGCUGAUACACCUCCUGUAUCACCAGCUCCUCUUGAUGGAAGUGAAACUAAUAAACCUCAAACUACUGGUGGUGGAUGGCUUGGCUGGUUGGGAUUGAAAUAAGUCCUUGUACUAUAGCUGUACUGUGAAAAAUUUAUUACUAAUCAAUGAUCAUUAAAAAUAAAAUUUGUAAUUGGCGUGAAA